UACGUAGGGGGCAAGCGUUGUCCGGAUUUACUGGGCGUAAAGCGCACGUAGGCGGAUCGAUCAGUCAGGGGUGAAAUCCCAGGGCUCAACCCUGGAACUGCCUUUGAUACUGUCGAUCUGGAGUAUGGAAGAGGUGAGUGGAAUUCCGAGUGUAGAGGUGAAAUUCGUAGAUAUUCGCAAGAACACCAGUGGCGAAGGCGGCUCACUGGCCCGAUACUGACGCUGAGGCACGAAAGCGUGGGGAGCAAACAGG
rnacentral:rRNA from 1 species